rnacentral:rRNA from 1 species
AGCGCAGGCGGGAAGACAAGUUGGAAGUGAAAUCUAUGGGCUCAACCCAUAAACUGCUUUCAAAACUGUUUUUCUUGAGUAGUGCAGAGGUAGGCGGAAUCCCGGUGUAGCGGUGGAAUGCGUAGAUAUCGGGAGGAACACCAGUGGCGAAGGCGGCCUACUGGGCACCAACUGACGCUGAGGCUCGAAAGUGUGGGUAGCAAACA